GCCUGGGUGGCUCAGUGAUUGAGCGUCUGCCUUUAGCUCAGAUCCUGAUCCUAUGGCCGGGGGAUGGAGUCCCACAUCAGGCU
rnacentral:tRNA from 1 species